rnacentral:lncRNA from 1 species
ACCGUAGCAGCAGAUGGUAAUGUAUCCAACUUUCACUAAGUCCAAUCUGCUUAACUAGAACAUUGAACUGAUUGUGUAUGUGUGUGUGUGUGGCAUAACAGGAUGUGGUCAUGAGUUCUGCACUAACUGUGCGUUAUACCUAAGCACCACAAACAUAACAUCCUCAAAGACAUCACAAGCCACACCAGGCUCAGUCCCAUGUCCUCUCUGUCGCUACGGCAUUGUCUCUUUCACCAAACUCCCCCAUACGAUACCAACAACAACAGCAACAUCAUCAAGAACAAGCAUCUCCUUGUCCUUCUGCACUUGCUCCUCCUCUGAUGUCUUGGAUACAGGAGCUCUCCUCACCGACCCUCACUACAGCUGUAAACCGGUUGUUUCAAGAACCGGUUCACAAUCCGUUGGGUCAUCGUCCUUUCGGUCUCUUAGCUGCCGGUUUCCUCCAAGUCUCUGCCUCGGUGGCUCGGAUGUUGACGAACCCCAAAGAUAUUCCAAAAAGGUGUGACCUUUAUGGUGAUGAUGAUGAUGAUGAUCCUAAGUUUGGUUUUGUUUAUUAUUGUUAUGUCUUAGAUAGUUUCUUUGUUGGUGGAGGAAGGAGUUGAUAUCAAUCUCCGGAACUAUCGUGGACAGGUAACAGCUGUCUCCUUUACAUUGUCUUUAUCGACCAUCAAAGUUAGCUGAGUACAAGAAUGUUUGAAACAGACGGCUUUGAUGCAAGCUUGUCAACAUGGUCAUUGGGAGGUUGUCUUGAUUCUCAUCCUCUUUGGUGCUAAUGUAAGCAUUUGAUCCAACUCUUAGACGAGAUUCUUCUGCAAGAUUGAGAUAAUGAUUGUGUUUUUUUUUUUUGUUUAAUUCAGAUUCACAGAUCAGAUUACCUUAACGGUGGUACUGCUCUGCAUCUCGCGGCUCUAAAUGGUCACCCUCGGUGUAUCAGGAUCUUGCUUUCCGAGUAUAUACCAAGUGUCCCUAACUGCUGGAGCCUCUUGAAGAAUAGUAAAUCCUCUGUUUCUGGAUUUGAUCCAAGGUUAUAAAGUGUUUCAGAGAGUUUAAUAAGCUCAAAUGGCUUUUAGUGACAUGAUCGUUAGUGUUUUUGUAAAAUGUGUGCAGUGUUAUUCAAGAAGUGAUAAACAGAGCAGCAGAUGGAGGAAUCACACCUCUUCAUGUAGCGGCUCUGAACGGACACGUAGAGACGGUGCAGUUACUCUUGGAUUUGGGAGCUUCACUUACUCAGGUUACUGUGGAAGAUGGAACCACAAUAGAUCUCAUAGGUGCUGGGAGUACUCCUCUCCAUUAUGCUUCAUGUGGCGGAAACACCCAGUGUUGCCAGGUACAUAUUCAUAUAUACUUGCUUAACCAGACCAUCAUGAUGCCAAACAAUAAUUUAAACUCAGAUAUGAAUACGUAUGGCAUUUGUUUUUCUCAGCUUUUGAUCGAUAAGGGUGCCUCUUUAGCUGCCAUUAACUCUAACGGGUUAGAUGUUCUCUUUGUUUCUCUGCCUGCAAAACCUAAUCCAGUUAGAUAUAAACUGCAGUGUCUUUAUCCGUUUGGUGUUUCUUGGUUUUAGAUGGACGCCAUUGAUGGUUGCUCGCUCAUGGCACCGGAACUGUCUUGAAGAAGUCCUGAACCCAACCACAGAGCAGCCACUAAGCCAACUGCCAAAAGUCCCUUCUCCUUUCCUCUGCCUUCCUCUAAUGAGCAUUGUCAAGAUUGCUCAGUAAGUAAACAUCUUAAACCUAACUGAAACACUCAAUGUGAUCAAAGAGUCUCUGGGAUUUUGAUUAUGUUUGUGGGUUUCAGAGAAUGUGGCUGGAGAGGAGAUGACUGUCUCACUCCAUGCCGUGACCCUUGCGCUGUUUGUCUGGAAAGAAAGUGCACCGUAGCAGCAGAUGGUAAUGUAUCCAACUUUCACUAAGUCCAAUCUGCUUAACUAGAACAUUGAACUGAUUGUGUAUGUGUGUGUGUGUGGCAUAACAGGAUGUGGUCAUGAGUUCUGCACUAACUGUGCGUUAUACCUAAGCACCACAAACAUAACAUCCUCAAAGACAUCACAAGCCACACCAGGCUCAGUCCCAUGUCCUCUCUGUCGCUACGGCAUUGUCUCUUUCACCAAACUCCCCCAUACGAUACCAACAACAACAGCAACAUCAUCAAGAACAAGC